rnacentral:rRNA from 1 species
UAUGUGAUCGUCUCUCGCAUAUCAAUAAGCGGAGGAAAAGAAACUAACAAGGAUUCCCCUAGUAACGGCGAGUGAAGCGGGAAGAGCUCAAAUUUGAAAUCUUAAAGGGUUUCCCUUUACGAAUUGUAGUUUAAAGAAGUGUUUUCUGUUGAGGUUUUGGUAAAAGUUCUUUGGAAUAGGACAUCAUAGAGGGUGAGAAUCCCGUAUUUGACCUUUACUUUCAACUUUGUGAUACACUUUCAAAGAGUCGGAUUGUUUGGGAAUGCAGUCCAAAAUGGGUGGUAAAUUUCAUCUAAAGCUAAAUAUUGGCGAGAGACCGAUAGCGAACAAGUACCGUGAGGGAAAGAUGAAAAGAACUUUGAAAAGAGAGUUAAACAGUACGUGAAAUUGUCAAAAGGGAAGCGUUUGACACCAGUGUUGUUUUUCUGAAAAUCAAUUAAAGAACUGUUUAUGCUAAGUUGUUUAGACUUUAUCAGCUAACUGUUUAGUUUUGAGCUUUUCUUUAAUGCACUUUUCAGUUAACAAGUCAACAUCAAUUUCUUUUGCUGUAAAAAAGCUUGAGGAAGGUGGCUUGAGAUUCGUCUUAAGUGUUUAUAGCCUCUUGCCUAUGCAGUCGGAGAGAUUGAGGUCUGCAGCGUAGAUCCUUCGGGGCUAAAUGCAUUUGUGCUAAGUUAUAGCAUUUUAUAGACAACUUGUUGACUAUGAUUUGUCUUGUAGCUUACUCGCUUAUGUUAUUUUACCUACGCUUAGGAUGUUGAUCUACAGAGCGAGAGU